CGACCCCAGGUCAGGCGGGACUACCCGCUGAGUUUAAGCAUAUAAAUAAGCGGAGGAGAAGAAACUUACAAGGAUUCCCCUAGUAACGGCGAGCGAACCGGGAGCAGCCCAGCUUGAGAAUCGGGCGGCUGUGCCGUCCGAAUUGUAGUCUGGAGAGGCGUCCUCAGCGACGGACCGGGCCCAAGUCCCCUGGAAAGGGGCGCCUGGGAGGGUGAGAGCCCCGUCCGGCCCGGACCCUGUCGCCCCACGAGGCGCCGUCAACGAGUCGGGUUGUUUGGGAAUGCAGCCCAAAUCGGGCGGUAGACUCCGUCCAAGGCUAAAUACAGGCGAGAGACCGAUAGCGAACAAGUACCGCGAGGGAAAGAUGAAAAGGACUUUGAAAAGAGAGUCAAAGAGUGCUUGAAAUUGCCGGGAGGGAAGCGGAUGGGGGCCGGCGAUGCGCCCCGGCCGUAUGCGGAACGGCUCUUGCUGGUCCGCCGCUCGGCUCGGGGUGUGGACUGUUGUCGGCCGCGCCGGCGGCCAAAGCCCGGGGGCCCUAGGUGCCCCCGGUGGCCGUCGUCGGCACGGCCCGUACCCGCGCCCCGCAAGGAGCGUCCCCACGGGGCCCGGGCCGCACCGGCCCGCG
rfam:Triticum urartu cultivar G1812 contig244932, whole genome shotgun sequence.